rnacentral:rRNA from 1 species
AUUGAACGCUGGCGGCAGGCCUAACACAUGCAAGUCGAACGGUAACAGGAAACAGCUUGCUGAUUCGCUGACGAGUGGCGGACGGGUGAGUAAUGUCUGGGAAACUGCCUGAUGGAGGGGGAUAACUACUGGAAACGGUAGCUAAUACCGCAUAACGUCGCAAGACCAAAGAGGGGGACCUUCGGGCCUCUUGCCAUUGGAUGUGCCCCGAUGGGACUUGCUAGUAGGUGGGGUAACGGCUCACCUAGGCGACGAUCCCUAGCUGGUCUGAGAGGAUGACCAGCCACACUGGAACUGAGACACGAUCCAGACUCCUACGGGAGGCAGCAGUGGGGAAUAUUGCACAAUGGGCGCAAGCCUGAUGCAGCCAUGCCGCGUGUAUGAAGAAGGCCUUCGGGUUGUAAAGUACUUUCAGCGGGGAUGAAGGGAGUAAAGUUAAUACCUUUGCUCAUUGACGUUACCCGCAGAAGAAGCACCGGCUAACUCCGUG